rnacentral:rRNA from 1 species
GACGAACGCUGGCGGCGCGCUUAACACAUGCAAGUCGAACGGAAAGGCCUGCUUUCCCUUGUGGAUUGCGGGUACUCGAGUGGCGAACGGGUGAGUAACACGUGAGUGAUCUGCCCCCAACUUGGGUAUAAGCCUGGGAAACUGGGUCCAAUGCCCGAUAGGACUGCAGGGUGGUGCCUGUGGUGGAAAACGAUUGUCUAGUGGUUGGGGAUGAGCUCGCGGCCUUUCAGCUUGUUGGUGGGGUAAUGGCCUACCAAGGCGGCGACGGGUAGCCGGCCUGAGGGGCUGUAGCGCCACGUUGAGGCUGAGCUACGGCCCUGGCUCCUACGGGCGGCACCAGUGGGGACGAUUGGACGCUGUGCGGAAGCCUGAUGCAGCGACGCCGGGUGGAGGAUGCCGUCCUGCGUGUUGUAAACUCCUUUCGACCGCGAGGAAGCCACCUGGUUGGAAGGGUGGUGACGGUAGUGGUAGAAGAAGCACCGGCUAACUACGUG